AGCCACCUUCGGGUGGUGGACAGUGGCAGACGGGUGAGUAACGCGUGGGAACGUGCCUUUCGGUUCGGAAUAACCCAGGGAAACUUGGGCUAAUACCGGAUACGCCCUUCGGGGGAAAGAUUCAUUGCCGAAAGAUCGGCCCGCGUCGGAUUAGCUAAUUGGUGGGGUAAUGGCUCACCAAGGCGACGAUCCGUAGCUGGUCUGAGAGGAUGACCAGCCACACUGGGACUGAGACACGGCCCAGACUCCUACGGGAGGCAGCAGUGGGGAAUAUUGGACAAUGGGCGCAAGCCUGAUCCAGCCAUGCCGCGUGGGUGAAGAAGGCCUUAGGG
rnacentral:rRNA from 1 species